UACGUAGGGUGCAAGCGUUGUCCGGAAUUAUUGGGCGUAAAGAGCUCGUAGGCGGUCUGUCGCGUCGGAUGUGAAAACCCAGGGCUCAACCCUGGGCCUGCAUUCGAUACGGGCAGACUAGAGUUCGGUAGGGGAGACUGGAAUUCCUGGUGUAGCGGUGAAAUGCGCAGAUAUCAGGAGGAACACCGGUGGUGUAGACGGCUUACUGGACCACGACUGACACUGAGGCACGAAAGCGUGGGUAGCAAACAGG
rnacentral:rRNA from 1 species